rnacentral:rRNA from 1 species
UAUUAUACUUAGACUAGAUGAAUAGCCUUUGAGUAGUAAACAGGUAUGGGCUCGAAACUCAAAGGAUUUGGCGGUAUCUGAGCCGGUUAGAGGAACUUGUGCGGUAAACGAUAAUCCCCGAGAAUCUAGCCCUAUCUUGUAACAUUCAGUUUGUAUACCGCCAUUAUUGGGUAACUUUAAUAGAGGUUUACCGGGAGAGAUAGUUUAUCUAGGAUAUUAGGUCAAGGUGCAGCCAAUGGUAGGGUCGUCGUGAGUUACAAUAGGACAGGCUUAUACGGAUAAAGCGCGGCAGUGGGUUUUUGAAGGAGGAUUUAAAAGUAAUGGGGUUAGAUCAAACUUCUUUGAUUGGGGCUCUUAGAUAUGUACACAUCGCCCGUCGUUC